rnacentral:rRNA from 1 species
CCUACGGGUGGCAGCAGUGGGGAAUAUUGGACAAUGGGCGAAAGCCUGAUCCAGCCAUGCCGCGUGUGUGAAGAAGGCCUUCGGGUUGUAAAGCACUUUCAGUGGGGAAGAAAGCCUUGGGGCUAAUACCCUCGAGGAAGGACAUCACCCACAGAAGAAGCACCGGCUAACUCCGUGCCAACAGCCGCGGUAAUACGGAGGGUGCGAGCGUUAAUCGGAAUUACUGGGCGUAAAGCGCGCGUAGGCGGUCUGAUAAGCCGGUUGUGAAAGCCCCGGGCUCAACCUGGGAACGGCAUCCGGAACUGUCAGGCUAGAGUGCAGGAGAGGAAGGUAGAAUUCCCGGUGUAGCGGUGAAAUGCGUAGAGAUCGGGAGGAAUACCAGUGGCGAAGGCGGCCUUCUGGACUGACACUGACGCUGAGGUGCGAAAGCGUGGGUAGCAAACAGGAUUAGAUACCCCGGUAGC